CCACCGAGUGUGUCGUCGACGACACGUUUGUACAAGCACACUUUGCAUUACCGUAAUUCCGCGACGGUUUGUCCUAUCGGAAAAAUUAAAACGGUUUCUGAAAGCUGAGAAGUUGCGCUUCACAGCCAACAUGGUGUUAUUACGGUAACUUCUUGGGCGCUGUUGCAGGAAGACCGCGAAUCCGCCCCUUUGUUCUCCGCUCCACCCACACAGACGCGGUGUAUACGCGGAACAACAACAGAGCGGAGAAACGGAGCAGAGCAGCGAUUUUGUCAAGAGAGAAAGAAAGAAAUGUCUGGAAGACGGUCCUCCUGGGUGAUAAAACCACCACUGAGGUUCAGGGAUGGAUUGGAGAAAGAUGGAGCAGCUGAAGGAGCAAUUUCUGGCGAAGAAAGUUUGUCUUGUGGUGAGGAGCAGCCAUCCUCAAGUGAGAGACCUGGGAGAGGGAGAGGCAGAAGACACACUCAGGGCCGUAGAGCCCUUGUCCCCAAACGUGCCCCUGGGGUCCAGCCCCCCCCC